rnacentral:lncRNA from 1 species
UGAACAUCCAGUUAGAAGCCUCGGUUUGGAACAGUGGUUCUCAGACUUCAUGGUGUGUGACAGUCACUGGGGAACUUGUCCAAACACAGAUUGACAGACCCCAUCCCAAAGUUUCUGAUUCAGCGGCUCUAGGGAGGGCCCUAAGAACACGAGCUCCUCUUCCCAAGCUCCCAGGUGACGCUGAGGUUGCUGCCCCGGGAGCCCACUUUGAGAACUGCUGAUCUAGGGUGUGCUGGGGUAACUCUGGCUGUCAGAGGGGUCAGGACACUUGGUCUCCUUCUCUUUGGUCUCACUGAGAAUGUGAAUGUGAAUGGCCUUUUGAGGCCACUUGCACUGAGUCCUCUACAGGGCACACUGGACGGCGGGGGAGCGUCUGGAAGGGGUCUGCACACCGGCUUGCAGCCUCAGUGAUGCUCAUCUAGUGCGGGUCCUGCGUGGUCCCCAGAGGAACCCAGUGAGAAAUCCGGAGGAGACGGACAGAGAGGAGGAUGACUUCCUUUUGUAUUACAACGUCAUGAUUACAAAUAAUCAUAAUAGAGUGCCCAUUUUAAAGUGGCCUUUCCCUCCAAGCACACAGGAGACUCCCUCAGAUUCCCUAGGAAACCAAAGAAAUACUGAAUCUACUCCACAAAAGGUACUUGGUUGGCUGCUUCCCCAGGAACAUCCCUCCAUCCUCACGGGUAUCCCGCCAUGGACCUCGGGGAGCCCUGGACAAACAUGCAUGUGUGCGACGCUUGUAACAAACCUGCAAGGUAGACCUCAUACAGCCCAGUUUUGGAAGAGGGAGUUGAGUUUUAGAGCAUUUACAUAAUUUGCCCAAGGUCACAAGACAGCUACUCAGUGGUAGAAAGAUACUUCAAACGCAGUUCUGCUGGGCUCCCACUCCUGCACCAGAACCAUUAUGCUGUAGUAUCUAUCAUCGUGUCCUCGCAGUGACCUGGGAAGAGAGGCUGUACUGCAGGCGAGGAAAGACAAAGUGACUCGCUCCAGGCUGUCCAGCUCCUGAGUGACCGGCUCAGCCUUCCCACCCAGCUCCCCUACCCUGGCGUCCAAGAUCUCAUUCCUUGCCUCCCUCUUAACUGACUUGAACACCUGAAUGGUGUCUUCGAGUA